rnacentral:rRNA from 1 species
AGCUCCAAUAACGUAUAUUGACAUUGCUGCAGUUAGAGCGUUCGAAUUCUAAUUUCUGCUGUGACUUAUGGGUCUACCCUAUGGGUGUGUACUCACUUUUGUCCAGCAUCCUUCUAGAUUAUGUUUUAUACUUUAUUGUAUAAAGUGUAGUCUAGGACCGUUACUUUGAGAAAAAUAGAGUGUUCCAAGCAAGCAUUUGCUCUGAAUACUGUAGCAUGGGAUAACACGAUAGGAUUUCGGUUCUAUUUUGUUGGUUUCCGGACUGAAAUAAUGAUUAAUAGGAACAGUCGGGGGCGUUCGUAUUUAACUGUCAGAGGUGAAAUUCUUAGAUUUGUUAAAGACGAACUAAUGCGAAAGCAUUCGCCAAGGAUGUUUUCA